rnacentral:RNase_P_RNA from 1 species
GUACCGGAUAACAGCGUCCGCCCAAGGUGGAUGAGGAAAGUCCGAACACACACAUUUGUAAAAAUGUAGCACGGUAGCGGGUAACACCCGUCCUCCGACCCAGGUCGGAGAGAGGUGCGAGCAGUGACGCCAAAGUCGAAAGAUGGAGGAUUCCUUUAUGGAAUAAUUUUAUGGCAACAUAAAAGUGAAACGGCUAAAUCCUUACCUGUGUGCAAGACCGUAUUCUCUGGUUUCCAGAGUUUGAGUCGCUUGAGGUCUGGAGCAAUCUAGAUCCUAGAUAAAUUGUUAUCCUUCACUUUGUGAAGACAGAAUUCGGCUUAUAGGUACAAAA